AUUGAACGCUGGCGGCAGGCCUAACACAUGCAAGUCGAGCGGGAUUUACCUUCGGGUAAUGAGAGCGGCGGACGGGUGAGUAAUGCUUGGGAAUCUACCUAGUAGUGGGGGACAACAGUUGGAAACGACUGCUAAUACCGCAUACGCCCUACGGGGGAAAGGGGGGGAUCUUCGGACCUCUUGCUAUUAGAUGAGCCCAAGUCGGAUUAGCUAGUUGGUGGGGUAAAGGCCUACCAAGGCGACGAUCCGUAGCUGGUUUGAGAGGAUGAUCAGCCACACUGGGACUGGGACACGGCCCAGACUCCUACGGGAGGCAGCAGUGGGGAAUAUUGGACAAUGGGCGCAAGCCUGAUCCAGCCAUGCCGCGUGUGUGAAGAAGGCCCUAGGGUUGUAAAGCACUUUAAGUAGGGAGGAAGGUCUGGUAAUUAACACUUAUCAGGAUUGACGUUACCUACAGAAUAAGCACCGGCUAACUCCGUGCCAGCCGCCGCCGUAA
rnacentral:rRNA from 1 species